AAUAUUGCACAAUGGGGGAAACCCUGAUGCUGCGACGCCGCGUGAGUGAAGAAGUAUUUCGUUAUGCAAAGCUCUACUAGCAGGGAAGAAAAUGACGGUACCUGACUAAGUAGCCCCGGCUAACUACUUGCCAGCAACCGCGGUAAUACGUAGGGGGCAAGCGUUAUCCGGAUUUACUGGGUGUAAAGGGAGCGUAGGUGGUUCGGCAAGUCAGAUGUGAAAGCCCGGGGCUCAACCCCGGGACUGCAUUUGAAACUGUCGGGCUAGAGUGCAGGAGAGGUAAGUGGAAUUCCUAGUGUAGCGGUGAAAUGCGUAGAUAUUAGGAGGAACACCAGUGGCGAAGGCGGCUUACUGGACUGUAACUGACACUGAGGCUCGAAAGCGUGGGGAGCAAACAGG
rnacentral:rRNA from 1 species